GCCGCCGGAGGGGGGCCGCGGGCGGCUCUCGGGGCGGUUCUGUGAGCCGGUAGCCGUUCUCAGCGUCAUCCUUAGCGGGAACUGGGCCGGCGGCAGGCGGCGGGGGUGGUUGGGGAUCGUCCCCAGCUUCACAGCAGGGUCCUAAAGGCUGUCCGCGGCUUCUCCCGUCUGUCCCGCGAAGGAUCCGGACACGCUUCUGGGAAGAUUCGGCAGAUUCUUCUGUACUCAGCCUGGCCGCGAACUCCGCCCAAAUUCAGGGUCUUGGUUCUGCAGUGCAGGCUACAGCAGACGUCUGCGGUCACCACUUACCGAGUAAAACGAGCCCCUGACGAAGGAGAGGAAUUAUGAAUCUGACUCCAUGGAUAUCAGAAGGCUAAUUAAUUACUUUGUUAUACUAUAUUAUUCUAUACUAUAUAUAUUAUAUCUAAACAGAAUCUGCCAAGCACUCACUCUGCACACAACUGCACUCCAUUGCACUCAUCUCAUUACUCUCGGGACUGUCAGCCAACAGUCCCAACUCAUACACACACUUGGCCCUGAUAGGUCAAGGAAACAAAACACCAUCACUUUGGAUAAACAGUCUCCAUAUUACAAUCUACUUGUGCACAACACAGGCACAGCAAAUAAGAAUUGUGUUUUCUUUCUCUGAUGUUCAGAGAAUGUGAAACCCAGAAAUAAUCUUGGGAAGAACUGUACCUUGCUCUUCUCUGUGAAGAGAAAUGUGACAGCAGUUGGUCUUACCCUUCCUUAUACCAUUAAUAUAUACACACCCAGCUACACCUUUCAACUGUAGACACAGUCAUGUACCAGCAUGGCUUCUCCAGUGGCUGCAGGUGAAUCAUUGCAUCCCCAUGAAUAUCUGCAUGUGGCAUCUCCAGCUUCCUUCAUGUCCCACAGAGUCCAUCCCUGGUGCCUGCAACGGGCAGGCAACAGGGAUGGACUCUGUGGGACAUGAAGGAAACUUCCACCAGCUUCUCUCAAAACCCAGCCCUGAACCCUCCCUGCUAACAAAACCAGGACCUGCGUACCCAAAACAGCUCCAAAAAUGGGGUCCAAGAUAUCCAGGAGCUCAGGUUAACCCAAAAUGGGGAUGGAGAUUUUGAGGGGCUCAGGUGUGCUCAAAAAUGAGGCCACAUCUGAGGGUGUUCUCUGCCUGGCUGAGCACUGCCUGAGGGCUGGGGCUGCAGCAAGGGGGGACACCCUGCUCCAGUGAGGAUGUCCCCCAAACAGGGAACAUCCACGAACCCCUUUGAACAUCCACGGCUCGGCUGACCCUGCCUGGAAGCUGGGAGCCACCAAAACUGCUCCGUCCCUGCCCUCCGCAACUGUACAGGGAGAGGAAACACGAAGGAGAGGCCCAGGAGCUGAGAGAAAGAACAAAGAACGGGAACAGUCCUAUCCUGAGCAAGGCACAGGCAAAACAGACCCAGCCUGGGCACAGGGAGUGAAUUUAUUACCAACCAAAUCACAGCAGCAAGGAGAAAGGAAAGAAAUCUCUCCAACACCUUCCCUGCACUCAACAGGGAUCACACAGAUCAGGGAUCAUCAGGGCUCUGCCCAACAGGGGCCACUGGGGAUCAUCUAGUGUGGAUCUUCCCAUGGGGGAUGGAGCUGGAGCAGCGCACAAAGCUCUUCCCACACUCGGGACACUCGUAGGGCCUCUUCCCAGAGUGGAUGUGCUGGCAGGUGAUGAGCUCGGAGCUCAGGCUGAAGCCCUUUCCACACUCCCCACACUCACAGCGCUAUUCCCCAGUGUGGAUCUUGUUGAUCUUGAUGAGGUGGGAGUUCUUUCUGGAAGCUCUGCCCGAAUUCCAAGAACUUGUAGGGCCAUUCCCUGAGGUGGAUCCUAUGGAUUGGUAGCCAGGUCAGACUUCCAUAUGAAGCCCUUCCCCCAUUCCAAGCCCCAGCAGGGAUGUUCCUUGGUUUGCAUCUCCUGGUGCCGGAUCAGGUGGGAGCUCUGGCUGGAGCUCAUUCCACAUUCCAAGCACUUGUAGGGUGUCUCAGCUUGAGAGACUAUUUAAUAGAGGACACUGUGGAGUAAGUGUUGUCCCCUCUACAGGGUUCCAAUAAUCCCUUUCCAUAAACAGGAAAUGAAUGUUAAUAGAUGAAAGUGAAAAAAACUCCAACAGUUUAUUAAAAAAUAGAAUGCCCACAAGGCAUGAAAAAAAGCCCCAUUAAAAACCAACAUUAACAGACACUGAGUUGUCAGCCCUUACCUCCCACACACACCGUGGGAAGAAAGACCCAAAAUGCCAGAGAAAUCCCCGCUCACGACUCGGGGUACAGGUGGCACCGGCUUCUCCCCCAGAGGAAAAGCCAACCAGGGGCUGUCCCGGAGGAGAUGAAAGCCCGGGGCUCGCCCGGCGUUGAGGUCCUCCCCAGCCGGGCUCCGCGGACACGGUCCCGGCAGGUGAAGCAGCGGCGCUGAAGCCUCGGGCUGUUUUCUCUCCCGGCCCGGCCCGGCUCGCAGCGGCUUUGGGCUGCAGCGGCGCCGCUCCGCUCCUGCCCGCGCGGAGCCCCCGGGCUCCGACAGAGCCGCUGCUCGGUUCGCCUCUAGGAGCUCCGAGGCUCGCCGCAGCAGCCUCUCCCCACCAAGGAAAGGGGAAAUCCUUUGUUUGCCUGGCCCGAAAAGCUUUUCAGCCGGACAGAAAAGCACGGUGCGCAGACAGAGCCGCGGAAAACCCGAGCAGCGAGGCUGCAAAACGCCUGCGCAGCGAACAAGGAGCCUCUCCUGCCCUGGCCAAACACACGGCCGGUCCCGGCUUCACGGGGUUAAAGACACUAUAACCAUUCUUGGGGCACAAAGCAGAGGAUCAUGGAAUGUGCCAUCACAGCAACUCACUCCGGGACAAUUGCAUAUACAAUAAUCAUAGGUCUCUAUGUAUCUAUAAAAUCAUGUACUGAACUCUGAACACAGCAAUGUGCACCGGGACAGGAGUGGAGAGGCUGAACGGACACCAGGGGUGAUGAGGAAUGUACGGACAGAGCAAACCCUCCAAGGGCUUUAACCUGAUUCCCAGCUUUUCCUAGUUUCAAGGGCUUCGACUGCUGGAUUUGAAAGAACUGAGAUCUCACCGUGAAAAGCAGAGCAGUCAGAACCAGACACUGCUGUUGGAGUCAAAGUGUGAACUUGUCACGUCUCAGUUUUGAAAAUAUAUUGAAUAGAAAAUGCCCACAAUGUUUCCCAGCCCAUCCCUCCACCCACAUUAAAAAAAAAAUUACCUUUUAAAAAGUAAAAAAAUGUAAAACAAACAUUAAAAAUGUUCCCUCGUAGAAA